GGAAGCGGAUGAGUUACUGGUGUACUCAGCAGUCUUCAAAACUGUCUUGGCGAGUUAAAUCGCUGGUAGGUUCGAUUCCUAUACGCUUCC
rnacentral:tRNA from 1 species